rnacentral:rRNA from 1 species
AGAGUUUGAUCCUGGCUCAGGACGAACGCUGGCGGCGUGCCUAACACAUGCAAGUCGAGCGGAGACAGUGAGUAGCUUGCUAUGAGCUGUUUUAGCGGCGGACGGGUGAGUAACGCGUGAGCAACCUUUCCCAGACAGGGGAAUAAAACACACCGAAAGGUGUACUAAUACCGCAUAAGACCACGGAAUCACAUGGUUCUGAGGUAAAAGAUUUAUCGGUUUGGGGUGGGCUCGCGUCCGAUUAGGUAGUUGGUGAGG